CUUCAACCUUUUAUGAAGUCUGCAUUUCACAGAGAAAAGAUACAUAAAUGUAAGAUCCUACCAUCUAAAUGCCUAGAUAAACAAAGAAAUGCAAAAUGGAGAAUCUGAACUAAAUUGAUCCAGGAAUGCAGAACAAUUUACUUGGUAGAAACAAAUGGGUCCGGGAAAUGAAUAGGCGGCACGGUGAAACGCAGGGAAAAUUCAGGGAUGGAAAAAACUCACAGCAAAUACCUAUCAAUCUCAUAAAACUGUAUAAUCAUUCGUACUUAAAAGAUAUGAUGAAGAGAGGGAAGAAACCAGGAAUGGUAAAUGGCUAAAAAAGGUGACUUGUAUUAAUCGGCACAAUUACUAUUCAUAGUAGCUUUCUAAUCCUGUGUAGCAGAAGCAGCCUCUUUCAAACAUGACCUCAUUAUUGUCACAAGCUUUGAGCAAGCAUCAAGGCAAAGCUGCACUGCCUGUCGGUAAGAACAGACUUAGUACAGCUAAACCACAAAAAAUUGCCUACACCUAAUGUUGCUUGGUGCAUGAUGUACAGCAGAGAAAAAAGAAAACCAAUAGUAGUUUGACAAUGUGACUUGCAUUACAAAGAUACUGGAAAUUUCAGUGAUAUACCUCGGUCAUCUUCGCAGCAGACCAUUCCCCUGUAACAGUCAGCUGAGUGAUCUCAUAACGAGAAGGCAUACAGGUAAUCAUUAGGUUUCCAUCCUGACAGCUUUCCUCUUCCAAAAUCGGAUCAAUGAUGAGGUUUGUACCAAGACAUGACUAGGCACCAAAAGAUGUUAAUUGCUAGCACGUGUGAAAAUUUGACAAUGGAACAAGCAUGAGCAAACUCAGUGCAAAAGAUUAAAGCAGCUAGACUUAUCUCCCAAAAAAAUAAAUAAAUAAAGGAUGAAUAUGGUUGUUUUGCACCCGAGGCACCAUAAACGUUCCAAUUUCCACACACAAUUUUUUAUGCUUUCCCAUAUGGAAAAUCAAUUUUGAAGUUAUUCUUCACAAAAACGCACUAUAUAUAGCAUUUUCAUUUUACAAUUCAAUUUGCAAUUGUUUGAAAACUUCAACCUCAUAUUUUGCAAUACUUCUAUCAAAUUCACAUAUUUUGACUGAUUAGUGAAGAAAGAUCUAUAAAUAAAUAAAUGGAGAUGAUAUCAUGGAAACAUCAAUAAAUAUAAUCAACACAAAAACAUCAGAAAUGUUAGGUGAUUAUACAAGUAACACAUAC
rnacentral:misc_RNA from 1 species